UUUGACGUUAUCGGCGGACGGGUGAGUAACACGUGGGUAACCUACCUAUAAGACUGGGAUAACUUCGGGAAACCGGAGCUAAUACCGGAUAACAUUUGGAACCGCAUGGUUCUAAAGUGAAAGAUGGUUUUGCUAUCACUUAUAGAUGGACCCGCGCCGUAUUAGCUAGUUGGUAAGGUAACGGCUUACCAAGGCGACGAUACGUAGCCGACCUGAGAGGGUGAUCGGCCACACUGGAACUGAGACACGGUCCAGACUCCUACGGGAGGCAGCAGUAGGGAAUCUUCCUGCAAUGGGCGAAAGCCUGACGGAGCAACGCCGCGUGAGUGAUGAAGGGUUUCGGCUCGUAAAUACUCUGUUAUUAGGGAAGAACAAAUGUGUAAGUAUACUGUGCACGUGCUUGUACGGUACCUAC
rnacentral:rRNA from 1 species